UGGACGAGAGCUGAACCAGCSAAGUAGCGUGAAGGAUGACUGCCCUAUGGGUUGUAAACUUCUUUUAUAUGGGAAUAAAGUGGUCCACGUGUGGAUUUUUGUAUGUACCAUAUGAAUAAGGAUCGGCKAACUCCGUGCCAGCAGCCGCGGUAAUACGGAGGAUCCGAGCGUUAUCCGGAUUUAUUGGGUUUAAAGGGAGCGUAGGCGGNUUGUGAAGUCAGUUGUGAAAGUUUGCGGCUCAACCGUAAAAUUGCAGUUGAUACUGGCAGUCUUGAGUGCAGUAGAGGUGGGCGGAAUUCGUGGUGUAGCGGUGAAAUGCKNGAUAUCACGAAGAACUCCGAUUGCGAAGGCAGCUCACUGGAGUGUAACUGACGCUGAUGCUCGAAAGUGUGGGUAUCAAACAGGAUUAGAUACCCUGGUAGUCCACACAGUAAACGAUGAAUACUCGCUGUUUGCGAUAUACAGUAAGCGGCCAAGCGAAAGCAUUAAGUAUUCCACCUGGGGAGUACGCCGGCAACGGUGAAACUCAAAGGAAUUGACGGGGGCCCGCACAAGCGGAGGAACAUGUGGUUUAAUUCGAUGAUACGCGAGGAACCUUACCCGGGCUUAAAUUGCAAAUGAAUUAUGGGGAAACCCAUACGCCGCAAGGGGGGUGUGAAGGUGCUGCAUGGUUGUCGUCA
rnacentral:rRNA from 1 species